GUGUUGCUCUAGUGACCAGUUUGUGACCUCCUGGGUUUCCCUUUGUCAUCCUAUGCCUGCAGUUCCUGAUGAGGCUGGGACAGCAAAGGGAGGUUCAGAUGUCGACCUGUACUACAGUCAAUAC